UACCGAGUUUACAACUCCCAAACCCAAUGUGCUUGUUACCAAACUGUUGCCUCGGCGGGAUCUCUGCCCCGGGUGCGUCGCAGCCCCGGACCAAGGCGCCCGCCGGAGGACCAACCAAAACUCUUUUUGUAUACCCCCUCGCGGGUUUUUUAUAAUCUGAGCCUUCUCGGCGCCUCUCGUAGGCGUUUCGAAAAUGAAUCAAAACUUUCAACAACGGAUCUCUUGGUUCUGGCAUCGAUGAAGAACGCAGCGAAAUGCGAUAAGUAAUGUGAAUUGCAGAAUUCAGUGAAUCAUCGAAUCUUUGAACGCACAUUGCGCCCGCCAGUAUUCUGGCGGGCAUGCCUGUCCGAGCGUCAUUUCAACCCUCGAACCCCUCCGGGGGGUCGGCGUUGGGGAUCGGCCCUGCCUCUUGGCGGUGGCCGUCUCCGAAAUACAGUGGCGGUCUCGCCGCAGCCUCUCCUGCGCAGUAGUUUGCACACUCGCAUCGGGAGCGCGGCGCGUCCACAGCCGUUAAACACCCAACUUCUGAAAUGUUGACCUCGGAUCAGGUAGGAAUACCCGCUGAACUUAAGCAU
rnacentral:rRNA from 1 species